rnacentral:rRNA from 1 species
AGACCCGAAACCCGGUGAUCUAGCCAUGGGCAGGUUGAAGGUUGGGUAACACUAACUGGAGGACCGAACCGACUAAUGUUGAAAAAUUAGCGGAUGACCUGUGGCUGGGGGUGAAAGGCCAAUCAAACCGGGAGAUAGCUGGUUCUCCCCGAAAGCUAUUUAGGUAGCGCCUCGUGAAUUCAUCUCCGGGGGUAGAGCACUGUUUCGGCUAGGGGGCCAUCCCGGCUUACCAACCCGAUGCAAACUGCGAAUACCGGAGAAUGUUAUCACGGGAGACACACGGCGGGUGCUAACGUCCGUCGUGAAGAGGGAAACAACCCAGACCGCCAGCUAAGGUCCCAAAGUCAUGGUUAAGUGGGAAACGAUGUGGGAAGGCCCAGACAGCCAGGAUGUUGGCUUAGAAGCAGCCAUCAUUUAAAGAAAGCGUAAUAGCUCACUGGUCGAGUCGGCCUGCGCGGAAGAUGUAACGGGGCUAAACCAUGCACCGAAGCUGCGGCAGCGAACGUAUCACCCAAGACAACUUUACGGAGUUGACGAUUGACGGAGCGAAGCGACGUCAAAGCGUUCAUUAAAGUCGAGUUGGCUUAGGGAUACGUUCGUUGGGUAGGGGAGCGUUCUGUAAGCCUGUGAAGGUGUGUCGUGAGGCAUGCUGGAGGUAUCAGAAGUGCGAAUGCUGACAUAAGUAACGAUAAAGCGGGUGAAAAGCCCGCUCGCCGGAAGACCAAGGGUUCCUGUCCAACGUUAAUCGGGGCAGGGUGAGUCGACCCCUAAGGCGAGGCCGAAAGGCGUAGUCGAUGGGAAACGGGUUAAUAUUCCCGUACUUGGUGUUACUGCGAAGGGGGGACGGAGAAGGCUAUGUUGGCCGGGCGACGGUUGUCCCGGUUUAAGCGUGUAGGUGUGUGUUCCAGGUAAAUCCGGUUCACUUUAACACUGAGGCGUGAUGACGAGGCACUACGGUGCUGAAGCAACAAAUGCCCUGCUUCCAGGAAAAGCCUCUAAGCAUCAGGUAACAUCAAAUCGUACCCCAAACCGACACAGGUGGUCAGGUAGAGAAUACCAAGGCGCUUGAGAGAACUCGGGUGAAGGAACUAGGCAAAAUGGUGCCGUAACUUCGGGAGAAGGCACGCUGACACGUAGGUGAAGUGAUUUACUCACGGAGCUGAAGUCAGUCGAAGAUACCAGCUGGCUGCAACUGUUUAUUAAAAACACAGCACUGUGCAAACACGAAAGUGGACGUAUACGGUGUGACGCCUGCCCGGUGCCGGAAGGUUAAUUGAUGGGGUCAGCGCAAGCGAAGCUCCUGAUCGAAGCCCCGGUAAACGGCGGCCGUAACUAUAACGGUCCUAAGGUAGCGAAAUUCCUUGUCGGGUAAGUUCCGACCUGCACGAAUGGCGUAAUGAUGGCCAGGCUGUCUCCACCCGAGACUCAGUGAAAUUGAACUCGCUGUGAAGAUGCAGUGUACCCGCGGCAAGACGGAAAGACCCCGUGAACCUUUACUAUAGCUUGACACUGAACAUUGAGCCUUGAUGUGUAGGAUAGGUGGGAGGCUUUGAAGUGUGGACGCCAGUCUGCAUGGAGCCGACCUUGAAAUACCACCCUUUAAUGUUUGAUGUUCUAACGUGGACCCGUAAUCCGGGUUGCGGACAGUGUCUGGUGGGUAGUUUGACUGGGGCGGUCUCCUCCUAAAGAGUAACGGAGGAGCACGAAGGUUGGCUAAUCCUGGUCGGACAUCAGGAGGUUAGUGCAAUGGCAUAAGCCAGCUUGACUGCGAGCGUGACGGCGCGAGCAGGUGCGAAAGCAGGUCAUAGUGAUCCGGUGGUUCUGAAUGGAAGGGCCAUCGCUCAACGGAUAAA